rnacentral:tRNA from 1 species
GAGGGUAUAGCUCAGUGGUAGAGCGUGUGCUUAGCAUGCACGAGGUCCUGGGUUCAAUCCCCAGUACCUCUG